UUCGACCAUAUCUCAUUUAAACACCCGUCCUCGUAUGUUCACCGAAGUUAAGCAACAUCGAGCCUGGUCAGUACUUAGAGGGAAGGUCACUUGGGAAUACUAAAUGC